AGGGAUGUAGCUCAGUGGUAGAGCGCAUGCUUUGUACGUAUGAGGCCCUGGGUUCAAUCCCUGGCAUCUCCA
rnacentral:tRNA from 1 species